rnacentral:snRNA from 1 species
AAACUUACUUGGCUGAGGAAAUACCUUGAUCAGGAAGGUGUUUCUCCCAUGGCAAGGUUUAGCUUCUGCACUCUGUAGGAAUGACUUCUGCCAUUUUCCAAAUAUGAGAAACUCAACUGCAGGAGCUGUGGAAAGACAAAAUAUUCUCUGUC